rnacentral:rRNA from 1 species
UACGUAGGGGGCAAGCGUUGUCCGGAUUUACUGGGCGUAAAGAGCGCGUAGGCGGAGAUCUAAGCGUGGCCUGAAAGCCCCCGGCUCAACCGGGGAGUGCGGCUGCGAACUGGGUUUCUUGAGGACGAUAGAGGAGAGUGGAAUUCCUGGUGUAGCGGUGAAAUGCGCAGAUAUCAGGAGGAACACCGAUGGCGAAGGCAGGUCUCUGGGCCAUAACUGACGCUGAGAAGCGAAAGCAUGGGGAGCGAACAGG